rnacentral:rRNA from 1 species
CAUGCAAGUCGAACGAGAAUCUUUGAACAGAUCUUUUCGGAGUGACGUUCAAAGAGGAAAGUGGCGGACGGGCGAGUAACGCGUGAGUAACCUGCCCAUAAGAGGGGGAUAAUCCAUGGAAACGUGGACUAAUACCGCAUAUUGUAGUUAAGUUGCAUGACUUGAUUAUGAAAGAUUUAUCGCUUAUGGAUGGACUCGCGUCAGAUUAGAUAGUUGGUGAGGUAGCGGCUCACCAAGUCAACGAUCUGUAGCCGAACUGAGAGGUUGAUCGGCCGCAUUGGGACUGAGACACGGCCCAGACUCCUACGGGAGGCAGCAGUGGGGAAUAUUGCGCAAUGGGGGCAACCCUGACGCAGCAACGCCGCGUGCAGGAAGAAGGUCUUCGGAUUGUAAACUGUUGUCGCAAGGGAAGAAGACAGUGACGGUACCUUGUGAGAAAGUCACGGCUAACUACGUGCCAGCAGCCGCGGUAAUACGUAGGUGACAAGCGUUGUCCGGAUUUACUGGGUGUAAAGGGCGCGUAGGCGGACUGUCAAGUCAGUCGUGAAAUACCGGGGCUUAACCCCGGGGCUGCGAUUGAAACUGACAGCCUUGAGUAUCGGAGAGGAAAGCGGAAUUCCUAGUGUAGCGGUGAAAUGCGUAGAUAUUAGGAGGAA